UCCUCCAAAUAUAACUGUAACUGUACUAAAAACAAUAAAAAAUAGAAAUGGUGGAGCAAUAAGGCAUGUGAGAAACGAUCCUUUUACUAUUUUAAAACAUGUUGAUUUUUUUGUUUUUUUAUUCCCAUUUGGCUGUACCGAUCCUU
rnacentral:ribozyme from 15 species